rnacentral:rRNA from 1 species
GACGAACGCUGGCGGCGUGCUUAACACAUGCAAGUCGAACGGAGUGGCGAACGGGUGAGUAACACGUGGGUGAUCUGCCUUGCACUUCGGGAUCAGCUUGGGAAACUGGGUAUAAUACCGGAUAGUGCAAGAUGAGCUCGCGGCCUAUCAGUUGGUUGGUGGGGUAAUGGCCUACCAAGGCGUCGACGGGUAGCCGGCCUGAGAGGGGGUACGGCCACAUUGGGACUGAGAGACGGACCAGAAUCCUACGGGAGGCAGCAGUGGGGAAUAUUGCACAAUGGGCGGAAGCCUGAUGCAGCGACGCCGGGUGGGGGAUGAAGGCCUUCGGGUGGUAAACUACUUUCGACAGGGACGCGGUACCUGUAUAAGAAGCACCGGCUAACUACGUGCCAGCAGCCGCGGUAAUUC